CCCGCACCCCCCCGCAGCACCCCGCAGCCGGCCGCGAGCCGCGGGGCUGCGGUGCCACCUAGCGGGGUGCUGGCUGCCGCCGGCCGGCCUCGCACCGCCUCGCCUCGGCUUCGCGGGCCCCCCCCGCACCCCGCGUGGGUGAUUUCGGUUACAGCAGGGGCCGUGCGGCCGGCCCGUGGGUGCAGCGGGCGCGGUGCGUGCUCGGGGCGCUGCGUGGUCAGCGCCGGGUGCCCGGGGCAGGUAGAGGGGCCAGGUAAAAGGAGGGCACCCCGGUGGCUGUGCCCCGGCUCAGCGCCUCCAGCCCGUCCCAGUCCGUUCCGCCAGGCCUUUCAAGCAAACAGGGCGAGCUACAAAAGAGGAGCACCCUUUCUGAGGUCAGGGUGGUGAGAAGCGAACCCGCCGCGUUAAAACUCAGAGCCCGGGAUGCCAGCGCCAGGAGUUUUGCCAGUUUCUGUCACCUGCCUUAAAAAUGAGUACCUGGAAAACCUCGCCAUCCCCCAAAACGACAGCAGAAAAGCAGGCAACUCCCAAAGCACGUUAGGGCCGAGAUUAAAUACCACCACCACUCAACACCGAGCGUUUUCCCCAGGUGUUGCGGUGAGGGUUGGCAGGUCCACCAGGCAUUGCCGUAGGUGCCACAUCUCCCACGGCACAUCUCGUCAGCUGAAAAUCCUCCCGCUGGGGUCAGGCGGGGCACUUAGCCCACCUCCAGGGCCAAGUCCUCCUCGGAGGAGGAUUGACUCCUCCGCACCGCUUCUCAACACAUCCCCUUGUUUCUGCAGCCAAAAUAGCGCAGAUCGGCUGAGCCUUGCUGUGCUGGACGGUGGACAAAACCCAUUUAUUUCCCUGGCCAGGAAGCCCAUCUAUCAAAGAGAACAUGAGGCGUGCUGCCAGCCAGGAGCCCGCGAGCUGGACAUCUGCUCAGCCGCUGAUGCCAGCUUGCCCCCCUUUCUGAUUUCCACCCAAAAAUUUAGCAAAACAAUGGACAACUUCUCCUUGGUGGUGUUAUAUGGAGUACACCAACCAUAUUGCCGCAGCCAGUGCUGAGGGGUAUCUGGAGGAGCAGGGCAUGGUAACAAAAGUUCCCCUGAAUACGGCUCGAGCAUCCUUGGCUCUCUGUUCCCUUCCUGCCAAUCUGCUCACCGUCUGCAGGCACCAGAUUAUGUAAAUUUCUGUCCAGCAAUUUACAUAAUCUGAUGAAGGACAGACAGAGAAACUCGCAGCGGAGCUCAGCCCUUACCCCCGCUCCUCCAGCUGUUAGGCAUCGCGUGGGAACACCUCUCCGGUCACUGCAAGGCAUUAACAGCUGAGCUUUCAGGCUCCUGGCCUCCUCUGGGGGCAGCUUGAGCUAUUAGCCAGUUUCAUUUUCUGCUGGUUGUUUAUGUUUCUUUGAAGUCCACCUUCAUUAGUUCCAAGUGACUGCCUUUGGAUGACUCUCCCUGGCAGGAGUUCCAAGCCCAAACUCACCUGUUUUCACCAGGCAGCGUCCAAUGUCCUGAGGAUUUUGCCCGUCAUCUCAUCAAUAAAUUUGCUUGACAGUGUUUGUACUUUUAACUG
ensembl:lncRNA